GAUGAACGCUAGCUCCAGGCUUAACACAUGCAAGUCCAGAGACCGGCGCACGGGUGAGUAACACGUCUCCCACCUGCCCUUUACUCCGGGAUAGCCUUUCUUAAGCAAGCUUAAUACCCGCUAUACAGGAUAGGGAUGCGUUCCAUUCGGUUGUUGGUGAGGUAACGGCUCACCAAGCCUUCGAUGGCUAGGGGUUCUGAGAGGAAGGACCCCUACAGUGGAACUGAGACACGGUCCAAAUUGCUACGGGAGGGUGCAGUGGGGAAUAUUUGUUAAUGGGCGCUAGCCUGAACCAGCCAAGUAGCGUGAAGGAUGAAGGCUUAUGGGGCGUAAACUUCUUUUAUAGAAGAAUAUGUAUUAUAUGAAUAAGGAUCGGCUAACUCAGUGCCAGCAGCCGCGGUAAUUC
rnacentral:rRNA from 1 species